AACGAACGCUGGCGGCAUGCCUAACACAUGCAAGUCGAACGAGACCUUCGGGUCUAGUGGCGCACGGGUGCGUAACGCGUGGGAACCUACCCUUAGGUUCGGAAUAACUCCCCGAAAGGGGUGCUAAUACCGGAUAAUGUCUUCGGACCAAAGAUUUAUCGCCUUUGGAUGGGCCCGCGUUGGAUUAGCUAGUUGGUAGGGUAAAAGCCUACCAAGGCGACGAUCCAUAGCUGGUCUGAGAGGAUGAUCAGCCACACUGGGACUGAGACACGGCCCAGACUCCUACGGGAGGCAGCAGUGGGGAAUAUUGGAAAAUGGGCGAAAGCCUGAUCCAGCAAUGCCGCGUGAGUGAUGAAGGCCUUAGGGUUGUAAAGCUCUUUUACACGGGAUGAUAAUGACAGUACCGGGAGAAUAAGCUCCGGCUAACUCCGUG
rnacentral:rRNA from 1 species